rnacentral:pre_miRNA from 1 species
CGAGUACUCCCUCCGUCUGAAAAUACUUGUCAGAGAAAUAGAUAAAAAUGGAUGUAUUUAGAACUAAAAUACGUCUAGAUACAUCCAUUUUUCUGACAAGUAUUUCCGAACGGAGGGAGUAGGAG